GAAGCUAAACUAUCAGAUGGUCCUGGUUCACUCUUAAACAUCUGGUUACCUUGAACAAAGUCUACUAAGCAGAUCUGAGGGGCCCAACGGCUACAGAGAAGAGCCUUGUUUCCUAAUGAGAAUGCGGCCUAGGAUCUCAGGAAGGUACAGUCGAAGAUGUCAUAACUUCUGCUCUCUUAUUGAUGGACAUGCAAGAGGAAGAAGAGGAUUGACAUCAGUUCACCAUGACUUGGUACCAGGUGCCAUCCACCACAGGCUAUGCAUUAUCUUUUUAAAAAAAUGUUCUUGAAGUCUAGUUGAUUUACAAUGUUGUGUUAAUUUCUGCUGUGCAGCAAAGUGAAUGUGUG